GUGUCGGGACGAGCAGGAUGUUACUCCAUCUACGAUUUACAGGAUGUUGAUUGUGUUAGCCACGAAUCAUGGCGUCAUACGACUAUGGCUGCCGCAUCAGCCAAUCGUUGAGAUUCCAGAUCUCAUCAUUCCUCAGUUCGUGGCUGACAUAAUCAACAUCCCGUAAAUCGUAGAGUAUAAGUUAAAACUAGACUCCUCUGCAC